ensembl:lncRNA
UAAUGAAGAAUAUAUCUAAGUAUUUAUUUGACAAGCUGGAAUUAAUCAACACAAGACAUUUAAAAGAUGGAACUUAUAUUGUUAUUAUUGGGAGACACACCUGAAUUAUAUCAAGCCAAAUCCAAAUCAUGUAAUGAUUUAUCAGCCAUUUAAGUAUUUUAAACUCUACUAAAUAAACAUAAGCAUGUAAGCAUGCAUGCUGCAUGUACAUAUAUUCUGUCUUGACUGAAGAAAAGACUAAUAUUACAUAUAUGCAUACUUAUUAGUCCAAAAUGAAAGAAAUUAAGCCAUUUACUCAUUGAUGCUAUAGCAUAGCUGCAUACAAAAAUAUCAAAGCCUACUAGCAUGAGACAUGCACCUGCACUGUGACUAACUGUUUGGAUCUAAUCCUGGCUCAUAUACUAGUCUUGGAUAAUAGGUCAUUAUACCGUUAUGUCCUAUGCCACUUAAAAACAUGAAUUUAAAGAUCAAAUAUCUAAGCAGUUAUAAACUAUAUGUCGCUGUGACUGAAAAAAGACUAUGUUUAAAGAGUCAAACAGUCUUGGUGUCUUCUGAGACAGGGAAUCUCUUGAAGGUCCGUUGUUUCACUGAAAAAAGACACAAACAUGAAUGAAUUAUGUAGCAUUAUUUACUGUUCCCUUCGAACAUUAUUAGCAUCGUAUUUGUGUAUGAAAACAACAAGUGCACAAUAACUUAAAUCUAAGGCAAUGAGUCACUCGUAUGUGAUUAAAUUACUAAUGGGUCAUCCUGCAGGCCUCAUGUUUUAUAAAGUAGACUCUCGUGUGCUUGUGUAUCAAAUACACACAACAAAAUAUAUUUGAAACAAUGACACUUCUGAUCACUGUGGCUCACGUACUGCAGUAACCUACCUUUCUGUAUUUUCAACAGAGUCAUCAUCAUCAUCACCACCAUCCCAGAAAUCAUGAGGAUAAGCAGACAGCCCAGAGUUCCUGCGAAUGCCUGGUAGGACAGAGACACUUCUGGUCCAGGGAAACCUGUGAAUGGAGAGUGUUGUACACAUUAAUAUGACUCAGUCUGUCUUUAGACUGAUGGUAAUGGGGCUUCUGCAGAGCGCUAUACUCACCAUGACUCUCAAUAUGCUUACUGAAGAUGAACACAUCGCUAAGGAGAGUCUUGCCGUCUAGUUUCUGAACACAUGAGAAGGAAGCGGGUGAAGACACCGUGAUCUUGAAGAGGUGUUCUGUUCCUCUGCUGAAGUCGGGGUAGUUCAUUGUGAAGCUUUGCUCUUCCACCACCACCUUCAGCUGCAGUUGGCUUCCAUGAACGGGAACGUGACAUUGACAGGAAACUAUGACGGCGUCCUCAUAGUUGCUCACCAAUCUGUACACUCUAAUCAGUGGGUUUGGGAGAUCUGAAAUUCAAAACACAGCCCAUCAUAUGACCAGCAUGUUUUCAUAAAAAAAAUAAUGGGAUCAAUAACAUUUUUGUCCAGUCUGGUCACAACUUUCUUGGCUGAAUAAAAUGUAUAUAAAGAAUGUAGACAAACGUCAACCUACUGGGUUGCAUCCAGUACCAUGCUGGAGCUAAAUACUUUAAACAUAUUUAAACAGCCAACUGUGUACAAAUGUGAGGUGCAGGAUGUUGUCAAGUCAUAUCCUAGAGUUGAGAAUAGUCAGUGUAGUUUGGGAGUUGAGAUAAAGAAUAGUAAAAAUUCAGGUCAUGAUCAAUCGAUUUCAGCAAUAUUGUUUGUAAAAUAAGUUUUAGAGGUGUAUUCUUGGAUGUGGAGAGACAUGGACAAAACCCUGCUGUAAUUUGCUGAAAGAUCUCACAAAUGUUUGGCCAUACUGACUAUAUGAAGAGUCUGUAUGAAGUAUGUUGAUCAACAUAAACUUACUGGGUCUCAUCCUGGGCCACCAUGGAUCUGAAAUAUAGAGAGAAAUAACUCAUCUGGAACUGUCCUGAAGUGAAUGUUUUAAACAUUUCAUAUAUUAUAACAUUUAAAAAAGUGAAUUGUGUAGAAAUGUGAGAUGAAGGCCAUGUGAGAGUCACAUACUUUGGGUUGCCCAAUCAUAUCCUGAAGCUGAAAUAAAGAACAAUCAAAAUUCACAAAACACUUUGAAUUAAAAUAUCAAGUGAUAUCCAUUCAAUACAGUGUUCUAGAUUAUCAAGAACAAUUGUACCAUCAAAAAAUAGCUCAAAAAAUGAAAAGACACUUAAAAUAUAUGAAUAACAAAAAGGAACAAGUAAAAAGUGGUCCUACAAGUGUAAUAGAAUUUCAGAAAUACAUUUCAGACAUAUUUUUUGCAUGAUAAGUCUGAACAUUAUAGACCUGGAGAGAGUACGUUCAUUAAGUCAAGCUCUGCGUAUAGAACUUCAGACUUCACAGAGGACCUUGAUGGUGCUUAAUACUCGAUCUACUAAUAAAUGCACGAAUGGUGUCUUAUGCUUGUACUUUAGUUAACAGUAGUUGAACAAUCAAUAUUGAGCAAUAAACCAUAGGUUUAUUUACUUUCUAUUCCAAGAUUGGCAUAGACCAUAGCAUUGUUAUGAAUUGGGCUGUGCAUUUUCCUGUUUUUAAUUUUGUGGUUAACAGUGUAUUUUAGAAAAUGGAGUGGCAUUAACAGGAUCUUACAUAUGGUCCAAAAAUUGGAUUAGAAAUCUAAAGUUACAAAGUUACAUAGCCGGCGAUUGCAGGUGUAUGUGAAAAGUAUGUUGAUGACUUUCAACCUACUGGGUCUCAUCCUGCGCCAGUAUGAAGAAGCUGAGACACAGAGAGAUGUUAUUUCAUUUCAGUUCUGCACUGAAUAUUUUUAAAUGAAACAGUGAAUGCCAUGCAAAUGUGAGAUUCAAGUAAUGUAAAAGAGUAAUAUACUUUAGGUGUUAACAGUGUAGUUUGGGAGUUGAGAUAAAGAAUAGUCAAAAUUCAGAAAACACUUUGGAUUAAAAUCCUUUUGCAUACUAUGUAAUAUAAGUAUAAUAGAUUAUGGUCAAUAGAUUUCAGCAAUUUUGUUUGUAAAAUAAGUUUUAGAGGUGUAUUCUUGGAUGCGGAGAGACAUGGACAAAACCCUGCUGUAAUUUGCUGAAAGAUCUCACAAAUGUUUGGCCAUACUGACUAUAUGAAGAGUCUGUAUGAAGUAUGUUGAUCAGCAUAAACUUACUGGGUCUCAUCCUGGGCCACCGUGGAUCUGAAAUAUAGAGAGAAAUAACUCAUCUGGAACCGUCCUGAACUGAAUGUUUUAAACAUUUCAUAUGUUAUAACAUAUUUUGAAAAGUGAAUUGUGUAGAAAUGUGAGAUGAAGGCCAUGUGAGAGUCACAUACUUUGGGUUGCCCAAUCAUAUCCUGAAGCUGAAAUAAAGAACAAUCAAAAUUCACAAAACACUUUGAAUUAAAAUAUCAAGUGAUAUCCAUUCAAUACAGUGUUCUAGAUUAUCAAGAACAAUUGUACCAUCAAAAAAUAGCUCAAAAAAUGAAAAGACACUUAAAAUAUAUGAAUAACAAAAAGGAACAAGUAAAAAGUGGUCCUACAAGUGUAAUAGAAUUUCAGAAAUACAUUUCAGACAUAUUUUUUGCAUGAUAAGUCUGAACAUUAUAGACCUGGAGAGAGUACGUUCAUUAAGUCAAGCUCUGCGUAUAGAACUUCAGACUUCACAGAGGACCUUGAUGGUGCUUAAUACUCGAUCUACUAAUAAAUGCACGAAUGGUGUCUUAUGCUUGUACUUUAGUUAACAGUAGUUGAACAAUCAAUAUUGAGCAAUAAACCAUAGGUUUAUUUACUUUCUAUUCCAAGAUUGGCAUAGACCAUAGCAUUGUUAUGAAUUGGGCUGUGCAUUUUCCUGUUUUUAAUUUUGUGGUUAACAGUGUAUUUUAGAAAAUGGAGUGGCAUUAACAGGAUCUUACAUAUGGUCCAAAAAUUGGAUUAGAAAUCUAAAGUUACAAAGUUACAUAGCCGGCGAUUGCAGGUGUAUGUGAAAAGUAUGUUGAUGACUUUCAACCUACUGGGUCUCAUCCUGCGCCAGUAUGAAGAAGCUGAGACACAGAGAGAUGUUAUUUCAUUUCAGUUCUGCACUGAAUAUUUUUAAAUGAAACAGUGAAUGCCAUGCAAAUGUGAGAUUCAAGUAAUGUAAAAGAGUAAUAUACUUUAGGUGUUAACAGUGUAGUUUGGGAGUUGAGAUAAAGAAUAGUCAAAAUUCAGAAAACGCUUUGGAUUAAAAUCCCUUUGUAUACUAUGUAAUAUAAGUAUAAUAGAUUAUGGUCAAUAGAUUUCAGCAAUGUUGUUUGUAAAAUAAGUGUUAGAGGUGUAUUCUUGGAUAUGGAGAGACAUGGACAAAACCCUGCUGUAAUUUGCUGAAAGAUCUCACAAAUGUUUGGCCAUACUGACUAUAUGAAGAGUCUGUAUGAAGUAUGUUGAUCAACAUAUACUUACUGGGUCUCAUCCUGGGCCACCGUGGAUCUGAAAUAUAGAGAGAAAUAACUCAUCUGGAACCGUCGUGGAGUGAAUGUUUUAAAUAUUUUAUAUAUUAUAACAUUUUAAAAAGUGAAUUGUGUAGAAAUGUGAGAUGAAGGCCAUGUGAGAGUCACAUACUUUGGGUUGCCCAAUCAUAUCCUGAAGCUGAAAUAAAGAACAAUCAAAAUUCACAAAACACUUUGAAUUAAAAUAUCAAGUGAUAUCCAUUCAAUACAGUGUUCUAGAUUAUCAAGAACAAUUGUACCAUCAAAAAAUAGCUCAAAAAAUGAAAGGACACUUAAAAUAUAUGAUUAACAAAAAGGAACAAGUAAAAAGUGGUCCUACAAGUGUAAUAGAAUUUCAGAAAUACAUUUCAGACAUGUUUUUUGCAUGAUAAGUCUUAACAUUAUAGACCUGGACAGAGUACGUUCAUUAAGUCAAGCUCUGCGUAUAGAACUUCAGACUUCACAGAGAACCUUUAUGGUGCUUAAUACUCUAUAUACUAAUAAGUGCAUGAAUGGUAUCUUAUGCUUGUACUUUAGUUAACAGUAGUGGAACAAUCAAUAUUGAGGAAUAAACCAUAGGUUUAUUUACUUUCUAUUCCAAGAUUGGCAUGGACCAUAGCAUUGUUAUGAAUUGGGCUGUGCAUUUUCCUGUUUUUAAUUAUAUGGUUAAUGGUGUAUUUUAGAAAAUUGAGUGGCAUUAAAAGGAUCUUACAUAUGGUCCAAAAAUUGGAUUAGAAAUCUAAAGUUACAAAGUUACAUAGCCGGCGAUUGCAGGUGUAUGUGAAAAGUAUGUUGAUGACUUUCAACCUACUGGGUCUCAUCCUGCGCCAGUAUGAAGAAGCUGAAACACAGAGAGAUGUUAUUUCAUUUCAGUUCUGCACUGAAAAUUUUUAAAUGAAACAGUGAAUGCCAUGCAAAUGUGAGAUUCAAGUAAUGUAAUGGAGUAAUAUACUUUAGGUGUUAACAGUGUAGUUUGGGAGUUGAGAUAAAGAAUAGUCAAAAUUCACAAAACACUUUGGAUUAAAAUCCUUUUGCAUACUAUGUAAUAUAAGUAUAAUAGAUUAUGGUCAAUAGAUUUCAGCAAUGUUGUUUGUAAAAUAAGUGUUAGAGGUGUAUUCUUGGAUUUGGAGAGACAUGGACAAAACCCUGCUGUAAUUUGCUGAAAGAUCUCACAAAUGUUUGGCCAUACUGACUAUAUGAAGAGUCUGUAUGAAGUAUGUUGAUCAACAUAAACUUACUGGGUCUCAUCCUGGGCCACCGUGGAUCUGAAAUAUAGAGAGAAAUAACUUCAUCUGGAACUGUCCCGGGCUGAAUAUUUCAAACAUUGAAUAUAUUUUAAACAGAUUUUGAAAAAGUGAAUUGUGUAGAAAUGUGAAAUGCAGGCGAUUUGAUGGAGUCACAUACUUGGGGUGACCCAGUCAUAUCCUGGAGCUGAGAGAAAGAACAGUCAUGACAGAGUCUCACGAAUAGUUUUAAAACAUUGUGUGCAAAAUAAAACAUUUCAAUGAAAAAGUAAAGUACUGAGGAAAUGUGAAAUAUAGAAAGAAUGAACUUCAUCUGGAACCGUCCUGGGGUGAAUGUUUCAAACAUUUCAUAUAUCAUCAUAACAUUUAAAAAUAUUAAUUGUGUACAAAUGUGAGAUAAAGGCCAUGUGAUCACAUACUUGGGGUUGCCCAAGCAUAUCCUGAAGCUGAAAUAAAGAACAAUCAAAAUUCACAAAACACUCAGAGAAUGGACUCUUCCUCUUAUAGCUAGUGCAUGGGUCUAGUUGGUGUUGUGUGAGGUGGGGCCAUAAAGCAUUACAUUGUUCUCUCCAGAGGUCUAGCGCCCUGUACCCCAAAGUUACAUAGUGCAAUACCAGGCGUGUUGUGGCAGAUGCCAUUCUUGUUACUUUAAAGAACCUUAAUAAUGCAAUUUAAUAAAAUAAUAUGUGACACUAGCUUGCCAUAUGAUAGAGCUAUAUACCAUAAUUUAUAGAUACUGUAAUUGAUAAUAUUACAUCAUUUUAACAUCAGAGUUUAGAAUAAGAUCUAUUUUUGAGGAAUGCAUGACCACAUUCAAAGAGAAUAUUUUUUUUUAAAUAGCAAUGUAGGGCGCAUAAAAACAUAUUCUUACUACAGUUGUGAACAUAUCCAUAGUUGUUAUGGGCUCAAUGCUAAGGACCUGAGGAAUUCUGUGAUGUUCUCAUAGACAUGCUGAAGUGAAGGCAUCUAUCUACUGGUAAUAAAAGUGAACUUUUAGAGGUAUUAAAGGAAUAUAACAAUACAAAUGCAUUACAGUUGCAUACGUUCUUUACUUUUUUUUUAAUAACUUGCACUACUACGUUGAGUUCUCGCUUGUGAUAUGCAAAAGGCCUUGCUUGCCCCGGAGUUGUACAGCUCCUUACUCCUUAAUAUGUAGAGCUGGUGUUGGAGUCCGGUGGUGAGUGUCUGUUCAGCAUACACUAGCAACAGUUUUUGCGGGGCAGCACUUACGUACAGUAGGCUACUGUAUAUUUUCACCACCAAGUUUGUCUCACUGCAUCCAAUUUAGUGUAUUUACACCAAUAUGACUUAAUUGCAGCAUUAAACACCAAAAACUGCACAGGUAGAGCUAAUAUCUAACUAAUCUUUUGCCAUCAUAAUUGCAGAUGUAAUGCAGUAAAUGCUGUUCUUACACGUCCACAGAGUGUCGAUCGAUGUAGUGAACAGCCGGGACAGACAGGGGGAAUACCAGGUUUAAUUUAUUCACAUGACCAUGUAUCAUCAAAAUGGAUUUAGGAACUACCAGUCUACAAAACCUACCUUGAAAACGAUAUGAAUCUGCAUAAUGUCACUUUGAUGUAAAAAUGGUCAUGACCUAUAACAUGAAGACAUAGGCUUACCUUUAGACCAAUGCUGGCAGUCUGGACAGGGAAUGAACAUAAAGAAAGGUUAAGAAUAGCAAAUCACUCUUAAUGUCAUGGUCAC